rnacentral:rRNA from 1 species
AGUGAACGCUGGCGGUAGGCCUAACACAUGCAAGUCGAACGGCAGCACAGUAAGAGCUUGCUCUUACGGGUGGCGAGUGGCGGACGGGUGAGAAAUACAUCGGAAUCUACUUUUUCGUGGGGGAUAACGUAGGGAAACUUACGCUAAUACCGCAUACGACCUACGGGUGAAAGCAGGGGAUCUUCGGACCUUGCGCGAUUGAAUGAGCCGAUGUCGGAUUAGCUAGUUGGCGGGGUAAAGGCCCACCAAGGCGACGAUCCGUAGCUGGUCUGAGAGGAUGAUCAGCCACACUGGAACUGAGACACGGUCCAGACUCCUACGGGAGGCAGCAGUGGGGAAUAUUGGACAAUGGGCGCAGGCCUGAUCCAGCCAUACCGCGUGGGUGAAGAAGGCCUUCGGGUUGUAAAGCCCUUUUGUUGGGAAAGAAAAGCAGCAGGUUAAUACCCCGCUGUUCUGACGGUACCCAAAGAAUAAGCACCGGCUAACUUCGUG